rnacentral:sRNA from 1 species
GAUCUAGAGCCACCGCAAGGAAGGUAUGGUCAUCAAAACUACGUCAAUGUUAAUCCGAUCAUCGGUAACUAUUGACGUAGUCGCAACUCGAAAGGGUUGUGGGGCGAAAGCUC